rnacentral:rRNA from 1 species
GACGAACGCUGGCGGCGUGCUUAACACAUGCAAGUCGAGCGAUGAAGUUCCUUCGGGAAUGGAUUAGCGGCGGACGGGUGAGUAACACGUGGGUAACCUGCCUCAUAGAGGGGAAUAGCCUUUCGAAAGGAAGAUUAAUACCGCAUAAGAUUGUAGUAUCGCAUGAUACAGCAAUUAAAGGAGUAAUCCGCUAUGAGAUGGACCCGCGUCGCAUUAGCUAGUUGGUGAGGUAACGGCUCACCAAGGCGACGAUGCGUAGCCGACCGGAGAGGGUGAUCGGCCACAUUGGGACUGAGACACGGCCCAGACUCCUACGGGAGGCAGCAGUGGGGAAUAUUGCACAAUGGGGGAAACCCUGAUGCAGCAACGCCGCGUGAGUGAUGACGGUCUUCGGAUUGUAAAACUCUGUCUUCAGGGAUGAUAAUGACGGUACCUGAGGAGGAAGCCACGGCUAACUACGUGCCAGCCGCCGCAGUAA